GGCUCAGGAUGAACGCGGGCGGUAUGCUUAACACAUGCAAGUCGAACGGGGUACUUUCGGGUACUUAGUGGCGGACGGGUGAGUAACGCGUGAGAAUCUGCCUUCAGGUUCGCACAACAGCUGGAAACGGCUGCUAAUACCGGAUGUGCCGAGAGGUGAAAGCUUUAGUGCCUGAAGAUGAGCUCGCGUCUGAUUAGCUAGUUGGAGUGGUAACGGCACACCAAGGCAACGAUCAGUAACUGGUCUGAGAGGAUGACCAGUCACACUGGGACUGAGACACGGCCCAGACUCCUACGGGAGGCAGCAGUGGGGAAUUUUCCGCAAUGGGCGCAAGCCUGACGGAGCAAUACCGCGUGAGGGAGGAAGGCUUUUGGGUUGUAAACCUCUUUUAUCAGGGAAGAAGUUCUGACGGUACCUGAUGAAUCAGCAUCGGCUAACUCCGUGCCAGCAGCCGCGGUAAUACGGAGGAUGCAAGCGUUAUCCGGAAUUAUUGGGCGUAAAGGGUCCGCAGGUGGUUGGUCAAGUCUGCUGUCAAAGCGUGGAGCUUAACUCCAUACAGGCGGUGGAAACUGAUUGACUAGAGUUCGGUAGGGGUCACGGGAAUUCCCAGUGUAGCGGUGAAAUGCGUAGAUAUUGGGAAGAACACCGGCGGCGAAAGCGCGUGACUGGGCUGAGACUGACACUGAGGGACGAAAGCUAGGGGAGCGAAAGGGAUUAGAUACCCCUGUAGUCCUAGCUGUAAACGAUGGAUACUAGGUGUUGCGCGUAUCGACCCGUGCAGUGCCGUAGCUAACGCGUUAAGUAUCCCGCCUGGGGAGUACGCACGCAAGUGU
rnacentral:rRNA from 1 species